GAUGAACGCUGGCGGCGUGCCUAAUACAUGCAAGUCGAGCGAACGGACGAGAAGCUUGCUUCUCUGAUGUUAGCGGCGGACGGGUGAGUAACACGUGGAUAACCUACCUAUAAGACUGGGAUAACUUCGGGAAACCGGAGCUAAUACCGGAUAAUAUUUUGAACCGCAUGGUUCAAAAGUGAAAGACGGUCUUGCUGUCACUUAUAGACGGAUCCGCGCUACAUUAGCUAGUUGGUAAGGUAACGGCUUACCAAGGCAACGAUGCAUAGCCGACCUGAGAGGGUGAUCGGCCACACUGGAACUGAGACACGGUCCAGACUCCUACGGGAGGCAGCAGUAGGGAAUCUUCCGCAAUGGGCGAAAGCCUGACGGAGCAACGCCGCGUGAGUGAUGAAGGUCUUCGGAUCGUAAAACUCUGUUAUUAGGGAAGAACAUAUGUGUAAGUAACUGUGCACAUCUUGACGGUACCUAAUCAGAAAGCCACGGCUAACUACGUG
rnacentral:rRNA from 1 species